rnacentral:rRNA from 1 species
GACGAACGCUGGCGGCGUGCUUAACACAUGCAAGUCGAACGGAAAGGCCCUGCUUUUGUGGGGUGCUCGAGUGGCGAACGGGUGAGUAACACGUGAGUAACCUGCCCUUGACUUUGGGAUAACUUCAGGAAACUGGGGCUAAUACCGGAUAGGAGCUCCUGCUGCAUGGUGGGGGUUGGAAAGUUUCGGCGGUUGGGGAUGGACUCGCGGCUUAUCAGCCUGUUGGUGGGGUAGUGGCUUACCAAGGCUUUGACGGGUAGCCGGCCUGAGAGGGUGACCGGCCACAUUGGGACUGAGAUACGGAGCAGACUCCUACGGGAGGCAGCAGUGGGGAAUAUUGCACAAUGGGCGGAAGCCUGAUGCAGCAACGCCGCGUGCGGGAUGACGGCCUUCGGGUUGUAAACCGCUUUCGCCUGUGACGAAGCGUGAGUGACGGUAAUGGGUAAAGAAGCACCGGCUAACUACGUG